UACGGGGGAUGCAAGCGUUGUCCGGAAUCAUUGGGCGUAAAGAGUUCGUAGGUGGUUUGUAAGGUCAGGUGUUAAAUUCAUAGGCUCAACUUAUGUACGGCACUUGAUACCGGCAGACUUGAAUGCGGUAGAGGUAAAGGGAAUUCCCGGUGUAGCGGUGAAAUGCAUAGAUAUCGGGAGGAACAUCGGUGGCGUAAGCGCUUUACUGGGCCGUAAUUGACACUGAGGAACGAAAGCCGGGGUAGCAAAU
rnacentral:rRNA from 1 species